UACGUAGGGGGCAAGCGUUGUCCGGAUUUAUUGGGCGUAAAGAGCGUGUAGGCGGCUUGACAGGUCUGCUGUGAAAACUCGAGGCUCAACCUCGAGAUGUCGGCGGAAACCGUCUGGCUAGAGUCCGGAAGAGGAGAGUGGAAUUCCUGGUGUAGCGGUGAAAUGCGCAGAUAUCAGGAGGAACACCGGUGGUGUAAACGCUUUCUGGACCUAACUGACGCUGAGGCACGAAAGCGUGGGUAGCAAACAGG
rnacentral:rRNA from 1 species